rnacentral:rRNA from 1 species
UUGGAUUUCGGAAGGUCCUUAGCAGUCCGCCCCUUCGGGGAGCGGGCUGCUGGCCUCCUAUGUUCCUAACGGUCCUCAUCCGCGAGGGUGGGGAAUCAACCGCUAGGAUCGUUUACUUUGAGGAAAUUAGAGUGUUCAAAGCAGGCGUAACUCGCCUCCGAAUACGUUAGCAUGGGAUAAUGGAAUACGACUUCGGUCUUGUUUCGUUGGUUUCGCUUGGCUGAAGUAAUGAUUGAUAGGGACAGUUGGGGGCAUUAGUAUUUAGUUGUCAGAGGUGAAAUUCUAGGAUUUACUAAAGACUGACCAAUGCGAAAGCAUUUGCCAAGGAUGUUUUCAUUAAUCAAGAACGAAAGUAGGGGGAUCGAAGACGAUCAGAUACCGUCGUAGUCUCUACCGUAAACUAUGCCGACCAGGGAUCCGGAGAGUUUGCAUGGAUGACUCCCCGGGCACCUUGUGAGAAAUCAUAAGUGUUUGGGUUUUGGGGGGAGUAUGGUCGCAAGGCUGAAACUUAAAGGAAUUGACGGAAGGGCACCACCAGGAGUGGAACCUGCGGCUUAAUUCGACUCAACA